rnacentral:tRNA from 1 species
GGCCACAUAACCUAAUGGUACAAAGUGCUCAGCUGGUAUCUGAAAAGUACAGGGUUCAAUUCUUUGUAGUCA